UUUCCGUAGGUGAACCUGCGGAAGGAUCAUUACAGUAUUCCCUGCCCUUCGGGGUAGGAUCGCCACCCUUGAUUAUUUAUGAGUGUUGCUUUGGCGGGCCUCGCGGCCUGGCCGCGCCCCGGCUUCGGCGGGGGAGCGCCCGCCAGAGGAUUCUACAAACCUGAUUAUUAGUGUCGUCUGAGUACUAUAUAAUAGUUAAAACUUUCAACAACGGAUCUCUUGGUUCUG
rnacentral:misc_RNA from 1 species